CUCCCUGACUGUCACAGGCAGAAGGGAAGGCUGGAGAGAGGGAGGAGAAGAAGACAUAAAUGGGGUAAAUGGAAGAUGUGGACCCUGAGCCUGCCUGCUUUAAAUUUUAUGUGAGGAGACUGAAAUGUGAAAAAAAGAGUUGACUGUACAGUUACACAGUGCGAAGCCCAGAGAAAGGAGAGACAGAUCCACCUGACACAGUCCAGCUCACCCAUGGGUCCAGAGGUAUCUGCUCUCUCCUUUCAUCACCAGGAGGCUUCGUCCUGG